rnacentral:tRNA from 1 species
GGGCUUGUAGCUUAAUCUGGUUGGAGCGCUGGUCUUAUAAGCCAGUGGUCGGGGGUUCAAAUCCCCUCAAGCCCA